ACUCUCGGUUCUAUCAAGCAAACAAUAUCUAGACAAUAAUUCACAUGGUACUCCCAAAAAACUCGAAUAAAAUUCCUGUUGGCACAUCCUUGACAAUUCUAUGUAAAAAUUUUCAGAUUUGAAUCCAUAAAUAAAUUAUAAAAUUAAAGUAAAAUAAAAAUAGACAAUUUAAAAUCAACAAAAUAAAACACUCCCAGUCUUACUGCCCAGGAGUAACCAUUCUGGCCUGAUGAUCCUCGACGAUGGAGGGACCUUCUUCAGCAUUUUCCGCAACAAGGUCUGUCUCCCUCGUAGCUGGAAGGGCAGUGUUUGCUUUCUUUCCCUAUUGAAAAGUUACAGCCGUGUGCCUAUCGGGAUCCAGGUUUCCAACCCCCACCGCCACCACUUCGUUCCAUUGACCAUCAAAGACUUGGUUCAGGGCUAAAGAGAAGUGAGGCCUAUCACCACCGUUCCCGACGGAAGCUUCAUUACACAGAUCGGGUAAACCUUCUGCCGCUGCCGGACUACCAACACUGCUACCAGCAACAGAUGCAAUCUGCUGUCCUGAGCCCUUCCAUAACUAGGCCAUGACGGAUUGGGCCCUACUUUCCAAUCUAACACCAAGGCCCACAUUAUCAAAAUAGUCUAUUUUCUUUUCGCAGACCCCCCCGAACAGAGAAGAGGCCACAACACCACCUUUGCUUGACGGACCAGGUCCAAUAAGCGAUCCAUUAUUGCCCUUAAGAAUGGAAAUUGGGUCGACACUGUUGCUGAAGCCCAAAACAUUAGAAUUACUUUUCAUCUUUGACCCAUUAGCUAUCUUACCGUUAGAAUGUAAUAAAAGUUUCCUUGUUUUGUUGA